rnacentral:rRNA from 1 species
CAAGACCUUUGCGCUAUUGGAGCGGCCGAUGUCCGAUUAGCUAGUUGGUGAGGUAAAGGCUCACCAAGGCGACGAUCGGUAGCUGGUCUGAGAGGACGACCAGCCACACUGGGACUGAGACACGGCCCAGACUCCUACGGGAGGCAGCAGUGGGGAAUUUUGGACAAUGGGGGCAACCCUGAUCCAGCCAUGCCGCGUGUGUGAAGAAGGCCUUCGGGUUGUAAAGCACUUUUGGCGGGAACGAAACGGUCUGUGCUAAUACCACGGACUAAUGACGGUACCCGCAGAAUAAGCACCGGCUAACUACGUGCCAGCAGCCGCGGUAAUACGUAGGGUGCGAGCGUUAAUCGGAAUUACUGGGCGUAAAGCGUGCGCAGGCGGUUUCGCAAGUCAGAUGUGAAAUCCCCGGGCUCAACCUGGGAACU